UGGGAGACAGAUACAUGGGCAGUUCCUAGCUAUGCUCUGCUCAACACUAGUUCUCCCUAGAUCAUACGUGCUUUCUGAUGACCGGUGUGAAUUGAGGCAAAUCACAACGGACAGAUACGAAGCAGACAAUC
ensembl:scaRNA